UCACUGUUGAUUUCCAGGAUGAAGAAUGAAAGACAGAGAGCAAUGUGAAGACAUCAAAAAAAUGUGCAGGACUGCCAGGAAAUGGUUUAUCCAGGGCUAAGUACAGAGAGGAAUAUAGAAGGGCUGAUGACAGAUCUUGUGUGGUGCCCCUAUGGUUCAACAGACUGAUUGAUAGAAAAUAAUACCAGGGUAAUGGUCCUUUCACUGUUGAGUUCCAGGAUGAAGAAUGAAAGGCAGAGAGCAAUGUGAAGACAUCAAAGAAUGUGCAGGUCUGCCAUGAAAUGGUUUAUCCAGGGCUAAGUACAGAAAGGAAUAUAGAAGGGCUGUUGACAGAUCUUGUGUUGUGCCCCCAUGGUUCAACAGACUGAUUGAUAGAAAAUAAUACCAGGGUUAUGGUCCUUUCACUGUUGAGUUCCAGGAUGAAGAAUGAAAGACAGAGAGCAAUGUGAAGACAUCAAAGAAUGUGCAGGUCUGCCUUGAAAUGGUUUAUCCAGGGCUAAGUACAGAGAGGAAUAUAGAAGGGCUGUUGACAGAUCUUGUGUGGUGCCCCCAUGGUUCAACAGACUGAUUGAUAGGUAAUG